GCAGUGGGGAAUAUUGGACAAUGGGGGCAACCCUGAUCCAGCCAUGCCGCGUGUGUGAAGAAGGCCUUCGGGUUGUAAAGCACUUUCAGCAGUGAGGAAAGGCGAGUGGUUAAUACCUGCUUGCUGUGACGUUAACUGCAGAAGAAGCACCGGCUAACUCCGUGCCAGCAGCCGCGGUAAUACGGAGGGUGCAAGCGUUAAUCGGAAUUACUGGGCGUAAAGCGCGCGUAGGUGGUUCAGUCAGUCAGAUGUGAAAGCCCCGGGCUCAACCUGGGAAUUGCACCUGAUACUGCUGAGCUAGAGUACGGUAGAGGGUAGUGGAAUUUCCGGUGUAGCGGUGAAAUGCGUAGAGAUCGGAAGGAACACCAGUGGCGAAGGCGACUACCUGGACCGAUACUGACACUGAGGUGCGAAAGCGUGGGUAGCAAACAGGAUUAGAUACCCUGGUAGUCCACGCCGUAAACGAUGUCAACUAGCCGUUGGGGG
rnacentral:rRNA from 1 species